GUCUGGGGCCCUUCCAGCAAAGGAAGUGUGCUGCCGCGGGGCUGUGGAGAGGGUGCAGUGAGGGUCAGGAGCCCUGGAGGGAGAGCGGGUCCCACGGCACACCAUCCCAGCCACUGUCCUGAAAGGAUGCUCAUGCAUAGCAAAGUCAUUCUUUGCUAAAAUGGAACAGAAGUGGUUAGGCAGCUGCGAGCCCUCCGUAGUGGACUUACCACGACAGCAACCCCCUCGUGUACCAUUGAGGGAGAGGCAUAGAGGCUGGUAGAGUAUUUCCCAACAUACAGAGUGGGCCUAGGAGAAAAACAGAUACAUGCAUUCCAGAGUCAUUGAAUUUCCAGAUCCCACAGAAGGGAGUAAUCAUCACCCCAAAUACCACCCGCAGGGAUGACCACAUUAACCCCCCAGACAUGGAGGAACGCAGUAGGGGUGUGAAGCUAGGGGCACUGCCCUGGGAACAGGACCACAGGACUUCAUCCCAGCUGUCACUCACUGCAGAAACAUGGACAAGCCACCUAAUGGCAAGCCUCAGCAAAAUCGCAGGGCUGGACUAGACGAUGCCCAUGAUGCCUGCAGAAAGGACUACGCCCAGUGGCCACAGAGGAGACUGAGUGCUUACUACCACCGCCGAGGCCCCUCAGAUGACUCUCUACAACACACUUUCACUCCAGCGAUCACUCCAGCGACCACCAGAACUACCCCCAUUCUGCCUUGUGCUUUCUAAGGAUCCUGGAGGUUUUACAGAACUCCUGAGAAAUGGUCAGCUGCUCUACUCUGGAUGCUGAGAGCAAAAGGGAUGCAUAAGAAAUUCCAGACUUGGUGAGACUUCUGGUUCCCCAGCUGUGUAGUCUGUCCCCAUGUGGGACAUCAGGGAGACAGAAAAUGGUGAGAGCUACACCUCCUGGCCCUUCUGCUUACUGUCAAGAGCCCACCUGGGAUCGGUCAUCCACUACAUUAUCUAAACCUCUCUCAACGAAUACCUUACAUUUGAAUGCUGUUUUACAAUCUAAACACUUGCCGGCAUAUUAUCUUGUUUGAUCUUCCACACAACUCUAUAUAUAAAGUAGGAAACUGAGGCUUGGGGAGUUUAAGUGACUCGGUGAUAGGCUAUGAAGAGGGGGAUGGAGAACAGAAGCCUGCUGAGUCUUGGACACACACACACACUGUAACUAUUUUUUCUGAUUUUUAAAAUGAAUAUAACCUAAAAACUUAGAAAAUAUAGAAAGUUAAAAAAAUAAAUCUCUUGCAUCCCUACCACCUAAGAUAGAUCCAAACUAUACUUACACUGGCAGUCUCUUUCCUAUACCUUUAUUUGUGUGUGUGUGGUGGCAGGGGGAGGGUCUUGCCAUGUUGCCCAGGUUGGCCUCAAACUCCUGUGCUCAAACAAUCCUCCCACCUCAGCCUCUCAAGUAGCUGGAAUUACAGGUGUAUGCCAUGGUGCCCGACACCUCCCAUCCAUGAUUUUUAUGUAAUAUUUAAUAACUCUGAAGUGUUAAUGGGUGCCCCUCAGCUCUUGUAUUCUGAGGUUUCCAAAUGAAACAGUCUUGGCUCUGAAUAUUCCUCAUGGCUUCAGAGACUGCCCUGUCUUUGGCCUCCCGUGCAGGGCCUGCUACACUGCAACAGCACCAGAACACGAAGGCCACGGCCGCCCUCUCCUUCCCCGAGCUCCCAACUCACGUCAGCUUGCUCUUGGCCUCUGUCUCCUUGGGGAACGGGUACUU
rnacentral:lncRNA from 1 species